GACGAACGCUGGCGGCGUGCUUAACACAUGCAAGUCGAACGGAAAGGCCCUGCUUUUGUGGGGUGCUCGAGUGGCGAAUGGGUGAGUAACACGUGAGUAACCUGCCCUUGACUUUGGGAUAACUUCAGGAAACUGGGGCUAAUACCGGAUAGGAGCUCCUGCUGCAUGGUGGGGGUUGGAAAGUUUCGGCGGUUGGGGAUGGACUCGCGGCUUAUCAGCUUGUUGGUGGGGUAGUGGCUUACCAAGGCUUUGACGGGUAGCCGGCCUGAGAGGGUGACCGGCCACAUUGGGACUGAGAUACGGCCCAGACUCCUACGGGAGGCAGCAGUGGGGAAUAUUGCACAAUGGGCGGAAGCCUGAUGCAGCAACGCCGCGUGCGGGAUGACGGCCUUCGGGUUGUAAACCGCUUUCGCCUGUGACGAAGCGUAAGUGACGGUAAUGGGUAAAGAAGCACCGGCUAACUACGUG
rnacentral:rRNA from 1 species